rnacentral:rRNA from 1 species
UAAAGCCCUUUCAGUGGGAACGAUAAUGACGGUACCCACAGAAGAAGCUCCGGCCAACUCCGUGCCAGCAGCCGCGGUAAUACGGAGGGGGCGAGCGUUGUUCGGAAUUACUGGGCGUAAAGCGCGCGUAGGUGGUUUAUCAAGUCAGGAGUGAAAGGCCAAGGCUCAACCUUGGGACUGCUCUUGAAACUGCUAGACUGGAGUACGACAGAGGGUGGCGGAAUUCCCCGUGUAGAGGUGAAAUUCGUAGAUAUGGGGAGGAAGACC